UACGUAGGGUGCAAGCGUUGUCCGGAAUUAUUGGGCGUAAAGAGCUUGUAGGCGGUUUGUCGCGUCUGCUGUGAAAUUUCGGGGCUCAACCCCGAACUUGCAGUGGGUACGGGCAGACUAGAGUGUGGUAGGGGAGACUGGAAUUCCUGGUGUAGCGGUGAAAUGCGCAGAUAUCAGGAGGAACACCGAUGGCGAAGGCAGGUCUCUGGGCCACUACUGACGCUGAAGCGCGAAAGCUAGGGGAGCAAACGGG
rnacentral:rRNA from 1 species